GGUGUGGUUUGGGACAGGGUUCAGGAUUGGGGUACAAACUGAGUUUGACUGGAUUGGAUGUGAGGGCAGGGUUGGGAUCAGUGGGGAUGGUGGGGAAGGGAGAAGGAGCUCCAGGCACUGAGAAAAUCAUCUACUCUGAGCUUAUGGAAUGAUUGCGAGUCCAGUGCUGGGGGUGAUGACUACGUUGAGAAGAGGGAGGGUGAGACCACUGAAUCCACCCAGAGAGGACAAGGGAGAGGGGCUGCAGGGAAGGCAGAAGGGAAACACCUGUCUGUCAGGAGACACAGCUGGACAGUACGACCACAAGGUGUCACAGAGCUGAAUGAGGAGGGGUAAACUUUUGAAAGGGACAGUGACAAGCACCUAGAAAGAGAAUUAGACCAAAGAUAUUGUCACCUGCCUGAGUCAUGAAGUGUGCGGGAUAGGAGGGGUGUGGGCAUGAGAAGAGAUGGGACACAAGAGUGCAGGAGAGGCUGUGGGGGAGAGAGGAGCAAUCGGAGGGAGGAGGAGAGAAGGAGGGCGGACAGCGGUGCCCAGGGCUCUGUGCGGGUCCAGACUCAGUGUGCUGGUGUCGGGAGUGGGGCUGCCAGGUGUGGGGGCAAGGAGGUGAGAAGAAGGUGGAAGGAAAAAGGGGAAUCAGGCAGGGGUUUCCCGAGAGCUGGGUCAGGAGAGCGUGCAACGAGGGGUCUGGAUGGAAACGUGAGAGUUACAGGAGCAACACCGCGGGGACCUGGGAGGAGAGCGCAGCCUGGCUCAUGAGCCGGGGUCGGGGGCGGAGCGUGCAGGGUCGGUGCAGUGGGUCUGAAGCAGAGAUGAUGGAGCUGGGCUGAGCGGAAGGUGGGGGUGGGGGGGUCAAGAAGGGAGCACGCAGCACAGGAAAGUACUGAGUCCAGCUGGAAGAGUGACAGACGGUAGCUGCAAGAAUGUCACACGGAUCAGGCAGCACAGUUCCUUUGCUAUGUGUGCAGUAGCGCGAGAGCAGGAGAGACCCUGAAAGCGGGCCGAGGAUGUAGGUGACCAGGUGAGCGGCCUCGAACAACUGGGAGAGUGUGGUGGAGGAGAGUGUGGUGGACGAGAGGUGGUCCAACGGGCCAGGAGAGGGAGGAGGGGCAGGCGAUGGCGCCGGGCAAGGAAAGGCCUGUGGAGGGCAUCAGGGAACACACAGGAGAGAGUGGAUGUGGAGAAUCCAGGGUCCCUGCCCCCGAGUGGGCAGGAAAGGGGAGAGGAAGCCCACUGGAUGUGGAGGAUCCAGGAGCUUUGUCCCAUGAGUGGGCCAUGACAAAGCCCAUGUAGGAGGCAGAGGAUAGCAUGGGAGUAAGGCUAGUGGGGAACAUGCUGGGGUAGGAAUAGGCUAGAGGAGGAUCAGGUGGUAGAGGUACUGACUCAUGGAAGACAUUGGAGACAACCCAGUCAGUGCAGGGCAACACAAGAUGAAAUGAUGAAAGGUCAGAGACAAGCCCAGAGAGGCCAUGACCAUCUCCAAAAUGGGGGACCUGCAAAGAUAGUGUGCUUAAGGGUGAAUUGGAACAGCAUAUGGAUUCAUGCAGCACCCUGCAGACCAAGAAGCUGCUCACAGGGGAGCGUGAGGGCAGAUCAAGAAGGGAGCAGAUAUCAAGGAAGAGACCACUAUAUCUGUCACAUGACUGGCAGGUGGUUGGGGAGGUAGGAUCAGAUGCUGAAGGUAAAGCAGAGUGGCUCUCAAAGGCUGGAUUGGGAGAAAAGGUAGACGAUGGGCCAAGGAAGGCUCAGUCCACACCCAGUGUGCAGAGACCUUGGAUUCCUGAGCAGCCAUGAAGGGGACAGGCCAGCGUUGAGACGGGCCAGGGGAGUCAAAGGGAGGAGAAAGGGACAGGCAUCAUGGGAGAGGGGGAGAACCUGAUGAAUGUAUGAAGGGCUCAGGGUAGUUAAAGGGGGCUCUAAAGAAAAGGCGAGGGCAGCCUGAAGGGCUCCCAAUCUGGGGACAUCAGCAGAUCUCAGGGACAGGAGUGGGGCAUAUGUGGUAUUGAGAUCAGACAGUAGGUGCAUACUAGUGAAUAUAAGAAAGCAUAGGUGCUAUCUGCUAUGUCUGUGGGCAAGCAUGCUUUUAUUAGGAAGAUACACGACGCAGAAUGUUCACAGAGGGAGAGGCUGUAGCACAGCCCAGUACAGAGUAAAGGUGGUGUGGUGCAGUCAGCUGAGCUUUGAAAGCAUUGUAUUUAGCACUGGUAAAAUAGUCUUCUUCAGAUGUUGAUGUAGUGUUUAUAUGUUUAAUGUUUUUCCAAUGAAAAAGAGCAGAGGAAAAAUGGAAAGAAAUGGUUAAAAUGAAAUUGGAAUUAAGUUGACAGUAUACAUAUAAUGAUACAAAUCAUCCGUGGAAUUAUUAAGGAGGAUUAUAAUGGUUACGAGGCAUAGUGCUGCGUGUUAAACUUGAGCACAAUUAAUGGCAUAAAGGAAAAUGGAAGAAAUAUAUAAAAAGAAAUUGUCACAGGCAAAUUGGUGGCUGCCGGAAAAAAUCCAUCAGAUAAUUACGUCAGAGUGGGUAGAUUCAGGAGAAUAAAUAGUCAUAUGGAGGUAAAUUCAUAAAAUGAAAUCUGAAGGGAGAGCGCCAGCAGCAACCUCAUGACAUUGGUAACACUGACAUCCAAAGAUGAAGAUGCACGCAUUACAGUGGUAUCGUUUGGAAUAGUAACAGUAAGUCAAGGAGGAAGUUCACACAUUUUCACAUACUGAAUCUAUUUAAAAGCUCAGGUUGUGAACCAAGCCUGGGUGAACCAAGCAGAGGGUUUUUCCCUAAGGUCAAGAGGGAAAAAGAGGAAAUGAGUGGAUAUGCCAUGUUUACACUGCAUUCUGGAGAGAUGCUAUCACUUAAGAAAAGGAGCAAUAAAGAUUACAUUUACUGAUGCUGAUGGUGUGAAACGGAAACAUGAAAUAGGAUAGAAAUCAGACUGAAAGUAAGUAUAGAGGGAAAGUUAGACAUUUCAGUGUGUUUGAGGAAAGGGAGACGGGUUAUGAAAUGAAUGAACAGGGUGAAUGAAAUCUCAAACUGGAAGUCUUGGCCAAUCUCAUAAUGGGUCAAAUUGGAGGAAAACUGAUUUUACGGCUAGACUGAUAUAAAUUCUAGUGAUAGGGGACACGGUGGUUGAACAGUUAUAUUCAACUUAUCCUGCUUUUAUAGGCUUUGAGUAAAAAUUGAGAUUAUGUGCUUAGCUAAGAAGAAUGCAGAGUUUCAUCAAGGGUCAUUAGUGUGGAUCCCAGUGAGUGGCUGGAGGUGAGUCAAAGUAAAAAACAGAAAUGUUACUUAAUUGAAGCUGUGGAUUUAAUGUCAGAAUGUCAGGAGUUAAUACAGUUGAUACUGAACCACAAAUAAUAGAAUGGAGACUGCAGAUUCAGAGAAGAGUCUGGAGUCCGUCAGAAUCCCGUGGUAGCUCAAGGCAGAAAGUUGAGAACUGAAGCAUAUGCGAAAGUUAUGGAUUGUUAAAUGGGAGGCAGCCUCCCUAAUGAAAACCAGAAAAAGACUCAUACAUCACUGUUAAACUUGAUCUUAGUAUGGAUAUUUGAUAUUAAAGACCUUUUAAGUGAGUUAUGUAAAUUUGUUGAAAUGCUUUAAGAUGAGAAAUACGACAUAAUAAAACAAAAAGUUAAGUAGGUAGGGUCAUUAUAGAGGUCCAAAGCAGGGAAAAAUUUGUAGAAUGUUGCAUAUAUGUAUGUUAUUACUAGUAUAAUAAAUAUUCAGAGGAAAGAAAGUUGCUGGAUGAGAAAGGACAUGAAGAAGGCAUGCUGCCUUGAAGGCUUUUCUACAAAUUUGAGUGAAGAGUAAUUAUGGAGGACAGAAAAGAGUAAGUAGGACUAACUGAAUUGAGACUUAUGAAGGUGAUUACUCUUUCCACAAAUUGCCCAAGAUUUGACGGACAGAGUUAUGGUAAUAUCUUGAUGUUGAGUUAGAGUAGAUUUUUUUCAGAUGGCGUAGAUUUUUUUGACACUUAUAAAGUAGGAGGAGUGAGCAAGUUUAAAGAUACAGCAAAGAUAAGAACAAUUGCUGGAACAGCUUUCUGGGGGAGACUGGCCAGUGUGUGUCUUUUGAACUGUGAGAGACUUGAUUUUAAAGAAGAUAAAGGGAGAGAGUGGAUAGUUUCAGAACUGAAACAAUAAUAGCUUCUAUCUAUUAAGUAUUUACUAUGUAUCUGGCACCACACUAAUCACUUUACUUAAUUUCAUUUUAUCCCUCUGACAAUCCUAAAAGGCCUACAGAGAUCAAAUAAUUUGUCCAAGAUUACAGUCAGUGUGUAGCAGAGUCAGAAUUCAAAUCCCAAUCUAUCUUCAAAACCUAGACUCCUUUCUAUUCUAUACAGUUGAAGGAAAUCACAGUCUCCAGAAUUUUUUUUUCUGUAAUUAUAUGGAAAAUAUAUUUUCUGAGAUAAGACAAGUAGCGGUGAUGUAUAUAUCUUCAGGUGAUUGGUGAAAUUCAACAUAUCUACAGUGGGAAAAUGCAGAAAAGAAGGAAUGGGUAAAAGACUCUUAGUACCGCCUAGACCCUGGUGUUUCACUUCUGUUCACUGUACAGCAAAGACUUUGGAUUGGCCAUGGAUGAAAAAUUUUAGUUUCUAACAAAGACUAAAGAAUAGAAAGGAUUUUUUUUUAAAGCAGGCACGUGAUGGGUCAAAUAUAAAUUGACUACUAACAAAGUUUUAAAAGUCCAAAUGUUGAGACAGAAUUCCAUUUCUUCUCUCCAAGAUACAAAGACAAAUUUACAACUAAGUUUUAACACCAAUCAGCAAAUCCUUUAAAUUUAACAGAAAAGAAAGAAAAUUCUCCAAAUGUCAAAUUUUUACAAACAAAAUACUAACAACCAUCAAGCAAAAGCGCCCAUAGCCAGCAGACCAAAAGUUGAAACCUCUGGGCUAAUUUGUAAGAUCUAUAUUUUAAAAAGAAAUUAACUCCUUAGUAAGGAGGUGUAAGAAACCGCCCCUAUAUUUUGUCUUGGUAGAAAUGUUUUCUGUUGUUGUUGUUUUCUCCUGUACUAUAUGUAACUUCUGUAAUUUCAAUAUUGUUGUUUUACGUAUUUUGAUAUUGUAAAACUGUAUUUAUUGUAUUCUGUUAGGACCACUCCUUGGGAUGUGAGGCACCUGAGUUAUCAGUUAUCCAAGUGAACCUGGGGAAAUGGGAGGAGCUAGUAUUCUCAAUUGGGAAAAGCUUGAUUCUUCAAUGAGUUCAGCAUUUUGCUUCCCUCUGAAAUUACGUGGCAAAGGAAUGGCAUCCCUUAAGAAAAAGAAACUUAGUAAGAAGUACAAUGGGGGAAGAAUUGUGAAAUAAGGAGAGGUGGCUACUGGAAAAAACUAAAAAAAUGUGGAAUCUCCCAGGAUGAUGGCAGAAGCCACAGGGCUACAUUAAGACUGGGCCCAGAUACUGGUUUAGAACAAGGCUAAAUAAAACUAGCUUUACUAAAGAGUACAGCCAGCUUAAUUACUGGCUGGUGGACAUAUUUCAAAUGAGUCUAACCAGAGGAAAACAGACCAGGAAAGAAAGUGUAGCUAAAAGGGAACGGAACUAGAGAAACCUCAUAAAGGGAUAAAGGAGGUAAUGAGAGGUUAAAGUUGGAUGCCUAAUGCUUGAAGGGGAAAUACUGGAGGCCAGAUAGAAAAGUGCCUUCCUACCCAGGGGGUUAUGGAUCCAGGGUGGCUGCAAGUGCAGGUCCACCCAGGGCCAGAGGGAACAACCUGGGCUUCAGACCCAGCAAUGGUGCCAACUUGAAUCUACCUCGUGCUAGAGUGAGUAGCCUGGUCUAUCAUCCAACACAGAUGAGACUGGACAGGGGCUCCCAGAACCAACAGCUAAAAAGGGGGUUGGGAGAGGGC